ensembl:snoRNA U3 Small nucleolar RNA U3
AAGAUCAUACUUUCUGGGAUCAUUUCUAUAGUCUUUGAUUUGAGAAUUAUCGUACGAAAGUGAUCGGUUACUCUAACCACGAUGAAGAGAACUGAUGUUCCCUUCUGAGCGCUAAGCGGCAGUGAGUGAUGAUGCAUUUCAGAGUCUCUAGUGGAGCCUGGAGAAAGGGGUCAUGAUCAGAGUGGU